UACGGAAUGUGCAAACGUUAUUCGGAAUCACUGGGCUUAAAGAGUCCGUAGGCGGCUUGUUAGGUGAGGUGUGAAAUCCCCCGGCUCAACCGAGGAAUUGCGCUUCAAACCGGCAAGCUUGAGGAGGAUAGAGGUGGGCGGAACUGAUGGUGGAGCGGUGAAAUGCGUUGAUAUCAUCAGGAACACCGGAGGCGAAAGCGGUCCACUGGGUCCUUUCUGACGCUGAGGGACGAAAGCUAGGGGAGCGAACGGG
rnacentral:rRNA from 1 species